UACGUAGGUGGCAGGCGUUGUCCGGAAUUAUUGGGCGUAAAGCGCGCGCAGGCGGUCCCUUAAGUCUGAUGUGAAAGCCCACGGCUCAACCGUGGAGGGUCAUUGGAAACUGGGGGACUUGAGUGCAGAAGAGGAAAGUGGAAUUCCAUGUGUAGCGGUGAAAUGCGUAGAGAUGUGGAGGAACACCAGUGGCGAAGGCGACUUUCUGGUCUGUAACUGACGCUGAGGCGCGAAAGCGUGGGGAGCAAACAGG
rnacentral:rRNA from 1 species